rnacentral:piRNA from 1 species
UUCCUGUUUUUUUGUACACAC